rnacentral:rRNA from 1 species
UACGUAGGGUGCAAGCGUUAAUCGGAAUUACUGGGCGUAAAGCGUGCGCAGGCGGUUUUGUAAGUCUGGCGUGAAAUCCCCGGGCUCAACCUGGGAAUUGCGUCUGAUACUGGAUGGCUCGAGUUUGGGAGAGGGAUGCGGAAUUCCAGGUGUAGCGGUGAAAUGCGUAGAUAUCUGGAGGAACACCGGUGGCGAAGGCGGCAUCCUGGACCAACACUGACGCUGAGGAGCGAAAGCCAGGGGAGCAAACGGG